rnacentral:rRNA from 1 species
AAUGAACGCUGGCGGCGCGCCUAAUACAUGCAAGUCGAGCGAGAAGACGUAGCAAUACGUUUGUAAAGCGGCGAACGGGUGAGGAAUACAUGGGUAACCUACCCUCGAGUGGGGAAUAACUAGCCGAAAGGUUAGCUAAUACCGCGUACGCUUCUUGGACUUCGGUUCAGGGAGGAAAGCGAUGCCGAGGGUAUCGCGCUCUUGGAUGGGCUCAUGUCCUAUCAGCUCGUUGGNGAGGUAACGGCUCACCAAGGCCUCGACGGGUAGCUGGUCUGAGAGGACGAUCAGCCACACUGGCACUGCGACACGGGCCAGACUCCUACGGGAGGCAGCAGUAAGGAAUAUUGCGCAAUGGGCGAAAGCCUGACGCAGCGUUUACGCCG